AACGAACGCUGGCGGCAUGCCUAACACAUGCAAGUCGAACGAGACCUUCGGGUCUAGUGGCGCACGGGUGCGUAACGCGUGGGAACCUGCCCUUAGGUUCGGAAUAACUCCCCGAAAGGGGUGCUAAUACCGGAUAAUGUCUUCGGACCAAAGAUUUAUCGCCUUUGGAUGGGCCCGCGUUGGAUUAGCUAGUUGGUAGGGUAAAAGCCUACCAAGGCGACGAUCCAUAGCUGGUCUGAGAGGAUGAUCAGCCACACUGGGACUGAGACACGGCCCAGACUCCUACGGGAGGCAGCAGUGGGGUAUAUUGGACAAUGGGCGAAAGCCUGAUCCAGCAAUGCCGCGUGAGUGAUGAAGGCCUUAGGGUUGUAAAGCUCUUUUACCCGGGAUGAUAAUGACAGUACCGGGAGAAUAAGCUCCGGCUAACUCCGUG
rnacentral:rRNA from 1 species